rnacentral:rRNA from 1 species
AUUGAACGCUGGCGGCAGGCCUAACACAUGCAAGUCGAGCGGAGCGGCGGAGGGGGGAGUAAUGCCUAGGGAUCUGUCUGGGAGUGGGGGAUAACGUCCGGAAACGGGCGCUGAUACCGCAUACUAUCAGAUGAGCCUCGGUGGGAUUAGCUAGUUGGGGGGGUAAAGGCCUACCAAGGCGACGAUCCGUAACUGGUCUGAGAGGAUGAUCAGUCACACUGGAACUGAGACACGGUCCAGACUCCUACGGGAGGCAGCAGUGGGGAAUAUUGCACAAUGGGCGAAAGCCUGAUACAGCCAUGCCGCGUGUAUGAAGAAGGCCCUAGGGUUGUAAAGUACUUUCAGGCGGGAGGCGUUACCGACAGAAGAAGCACCGGCUAACUCCGUGCCAGCAGCCGCGGUAAUUC